rnacentral:rRNA from 1 species
GACGUAGGGUCCAAGCGUUGUCCGGAAUUACUGGGCGUAAAGCGCGUGUAGGCUGCGGAGUAAGUCGGAUGUGAAAUCCCUUGGCUUAACCAAGGAAGUGCAUCCGAUACUGUUUCGCUUGAGUGUCGGAGGGGAUGGCGGAAUUCCCGGUGUAGAGGUGAAAUUCGUAGAUAUCGGGAGGAACACCUGUGGCGAAGGCGGCUCUCUGGGACGGUACUGACGCUGAGACGCGAAAGCGUGGGGAGCGAACAGG